AGUGAACGCUGGCGGUAGGCCUAACACAUGCAAGUCGAACGGCAGCACAGUAAGAGCUCGCUCUUACGGGUGGCGAGUGGCGGACGGGUGAGGCAUACAUCGGAAUCUACUUUUUCGUGGGGGACAACGUAGGGCAACUUACGCUAAUACCGCAUAUGACCUACGGGUGAGAGCAGGGGAGCUUCGGGCCUUGCGCGUUUCAAUGAGCCGAUGUCGGAUUAGCUAGUUGGCUGGGUAAAGGCCCACCAAGGCAACGAUCCGUAGCUGGUCUGAGAGGAUGAUCAGCCACACUGGAACUGAGACACGGUCCAGACUCCUACGGGAGGCAGCAGUAGGGAAUAUUGGACAAUGGGCGCAAGCCUGAUCCAGCCAUACCGCGUGGGUGAAGAAGGCCUUCGGAUUGUAAAGCCCUGUUGUUGGGAAAGAAAAGCAGCAGGAUAAAACCCCGCUGUUCUGACGGUACCCAAAGAAUAAGCACCGGCUAACUUCGUG
rnacentral:rRNA from 1 species